rnacentral:rRNA from 1 species
AUUGAACGCUGGCGGCAGGCCUAACACAUGCAAGUCGAGCGAGCGGCGGACGGGUGAGUAAUGUCUGGGAAACUGCCUGAUGGAGGGGGAUAACUACUGGAAACGGUAGCUAAUACCGCAUACCAUCAGAUGUGCCCAGAUGGGAUUAGCUAGUAGGUGGGGUAACGGCUCACCUAGGCGACGAUCCCUAGCUGGUCUGAGAGUAUGACCAGCCAUACUGGAACGUAGACAAGGUCCAGACUCCGACGGGAGGCAGCAGUGGGGAAUAUUGCACAAUGGGCGCAAGCCUGAUGCAGCCAUGCCGCGUGUAUGAAGAAGGCGUUCGGGGUGUAAAGUACUUUCAGCGGGGAGGCGUUACCCGCAGAAGAAGCACCGGCUAACUCCGUGCCAGCAGCCGCGGUAAUAC